GAUGAACGUUGGCGGUGUGCCUAAUACAUGCAAGUCGAACGGAGAUCAUAAAGUAGUAAUACCUUGUGAUUCUUAGUGGCGAACGGGUGAGUAACGCGUUGGUGACCUGCCCCGAAGUGUGGAAUAACAAUUCGAAAGAAUUGCUAAUACCGCAUGUGAUUUUAGAGACUAGAUGCUCUUUUAUUAAAGGAUUUAUUCGCUUCGGGAGGGGCCUGCGUCCCAUCAGCUAGUUGGUAAGGUAAUGGCUUACCAAGGCUAUGACGGGUAGGGGACCUGAGAGGGUGGCCCCCCACAAUGGAACUGAAACACGGUCCAUACACCUACGGGAGGCUG
rnacentral:rRNA from 1 species